CACCCGGGUCCGGGGCGCCGACUCCAAGGCUCCGGAGCUCCGCGGCCUAGAGUGACACGCGCAGAGAGGCAGCGGGGAGGGAGAGAGAGAGAGAGAGAGAGAGAGCGCGGGCGGUGCAGCGGCGACCCCGCGGGCUCACGAGGCCCUGAGAGCGGCGCCACUCACCGAGCAGCCGGCGCACCUCGUCCUCGCUCAGGUGCGCCCAGGCCUUGGAUGUGGUUUCAUAGGAAAAGCCAUGCUGUUCUGUUUAGUGAGAAGAAGGUGUGGUGAGAGGGAUGGAUUCCAUUUGGAGACAAGCUGGCCUCCAUUUGUCAAGCUUCAGUUCCCCGGCACAGAACCCAGUACCCGUAGCCCUGCAGGAAGAGGCUAAGAAGUGGGCAUGAACUGAACAAAAGCAUGCCAUGGGUAAAUGAUGAAAAACACAAAAGUCAGCCAUGGCCACUGCUACCUAGGAGGGAGCCAGGGUUGUACCAGGAAGGACUUGAGGCUGGGAACAUGCUUUAUGAAUGGGGCUGUCUUCUCAAGAAAACAAAGGGGAGGGGACGGUGUGUACCUUUAAGGCAGUGAUCUGAUGUAUACAUUUUUUGAUAAUCCCAAGGAAGGAAGCUGAGUCUUCUAGAGGGCCUUUUAUAUGUCCACAUCUUUGACCAAUGACAUCUUGAGACCCUAUGGUACAAUGCAUCCCAGAGCUGUCAGUCAAACCAGGCUAGGCUCUCGUAUUUACUAAUGGUAUGGCCUUGGGAAAAUUCAACUCUCCAAGCCUUGGUUUCUUCCUUCAUAAAACAGAGGUGCUAAGGCCUGACUUGCAGAGCUUUUACAAGGAUUUAAUUGAAGAAACUAUAAAUAAAACACCUGGGCCGGCACUGGGCAAAUGCCAUGCUUGUUAUUACUGGUGACAUAAUGAAUACUUGCCUGUAACUUCUGUGAAGUUUCACCAAAUACCACCAAACAGUUCAAACGAGGAAUCUUCCAAAAGUUCCUUCACUAACCCAGCGCAUGGCCCCAGAGCCUGUGCACCAGGACACAGGAAUGACGAAGAGCUUCCUUGAGUACAGCGAGCAAUCACUGAUGGCAGGUUUUCAUCAGGGCUGUGAAGGAAAACUUAAAGGGCUCCCUGAGUGUGAUUCCCAAACCAGCUGCAUUACCAGGCAAUUAUAGAAAUGUAGAUUCCGGGCUCUCACUCCAGACUUGGGAAGAAGAGCAACUGGAACUGAGGGGGCCAACCUAUGUUUCCAUGAGCCCUAAAGGUGAUUCUGGUACUGGCCACUCAGUUAAGAAAGGCUUGGUCUCCGCCUCUCCUUUGAUCUGCUGCAGGUGCCUCCACAUCCCCACACCCCUAUCAGCCCCAGGGCGCCUGCCUGCCACUCUCUUUCUCCUCCCUCACUCACAGAGUGUUCCCAACACGCCAGCCAGAGUCAUCCUGUAAAACAUCAGCCUGAUGCGUUGUUGUUCACUGCCAACAUCUUCCUGGCUCAUCCAGAAUAAAAGGCCAAGUGCUUGCAAGACAAGGAAGGCAGGUCUCAAGCCUCUCCCUUCCCUUCUGGCUGUAUCUCCUACCCUCCCUCCUUCAGCUACCAUGGCUACAACUAUGGCUUUCUCUUCCAACCUUGGACACAACCCUUCCUCAGGCUUGGAAUGUCUUUCCCUCGGACAUCCAUAUAGCUUUCUUUCUCACCUCCUUCACGUCUAUAUUCACAUGUUAAUCUCUGAAUAAGAAUAAAAUUACAACACUCUUAUUGAACCCUCAGAUUCCAAUCUCGGGCUCCUCCUCUCGUCACACAGAGGUGUCCACACCAUGUAACCCUCAAGUCCUUUCCUUCCCCUGCCAAGGUGUGGGUGGCAAUUUCUGACAUUUCCCAAAAGUCUCAGCAUCUAGAUGCUGGGAAGCUCCGACCUCAGCCUGAGGUUUCUUUGGCCCCCUGGGAAAAUGAAGGCCACAGUCAUGACCACACUCAACACACCCACCCACAACCUCCCUGGUUUUUCCUGUCACUAUGGUUGCCUUUACUCUUCUCCAGAAGACGCAAUUAGGAAAAGUCGGGAAGUAACGUGGCACUUGGUGUUCGCUACUUAAAAGCAGGCCAGCUUUAGGCUUGAGACUCCGCAGGCGAGUCAGGGGCUGUGAGAUGACAUUGACAGGUGUUCCAUGCCUGGCUCUGGCACAGCCUCAGUGUUUCUGCUAGCUGAUACCCACAAAGAUAGAUAUCCAGGCAGCCCAGAACUCACAGAGCCAGGGGCACCCCCACCCCUGGCCCAGCCUCCUUACAUCUAUUGUAAACAGGACAAACAGCAAAGACGUGCAGGGUAUAAAAUGUGAGCUUUCCCCUUCACAGACAGACACCUUCACUGUUCUUCCCCAUCCCCUAGCUUGGUGCUUGUUCCCAUAGCCCUUUCUCUAGGCAGUUACACACCCGUAUAUAGUAUAUCUAUGUAUGUUUAAAAUUUUUUUCCAUUUCAUACAUAAAAAUCACGAGUUACAUGGUUGUGGUUUGUUUUCUGAGUUUUUUUGUUUUGUUUGUUUGUUUGUUUGCUUGGUUUUGCUUUUUUUUUCUUUUUUGAGACAAGAGCCACUAGCCCAGGCUGAUCUCAAACUCAAUAUAUAGCUGAGGAUGUUCUUGAACUUCUGAUCUUCCUUCCUUCACUUCUUGAGUGCUGGAAUGGCACACCUGCUUUAUAUGCACGCUGGAGAAUGACCCCUGGACCUCAUGCGUGCCCCACAACCACUCCACUGACCAGGCUCUACUCCUAGACCCGAGGUUUGCUGCCGUUUGUUUUGCUGUUUUGUUUUGAGACAGAGUUUCUUUGUGUAGGUUGUCCUGGACUCAAUUUGUAGACCAGACUGACCUUGAACUCACAGAGAUCCACUUGCUCCUGCCUCCCCAAGCGCUGUGAUUGAAAAUGUGCACCACCACACCCACCGGGCACAUGAUUUGCUUCAUUAACUUAUCAAAAUAACUUGAGAUUUUGAGGAGUCUUGUAUGAUAAAAGAUACCCUGUUAGUUAUUUUUAUAAAACUGGUUUCUCAGUUUCUCUCUAAAUCCAGCUAUCACACAAAUAUUUGAGAAUCUAAUAUAUUAUUUUAUCAAGCUUCACAGCACAAGAACUGAGAAGUUUUAACUCUAUUCUUAACCCUCUAAGCUAAUUUGGCUUCCUCCCAGCAUGUAUCCUAGAGAUAUUUGCACUUUGUAGCUUUUCUUGCUGAGGUCUUUCUCCUUGUCCCUCCUGGAUAUCUGCCCAUGGCUGACUCCCAUGGCCGAAUCUCCCUACUAUCUCUUCUAACUCCUUAUUCUCUGGCUGGCAUGCUAUUUUCCUCCCCUGCUCAGUGAUUGGUUCUAAGCUGCUUUAUUGACAUAUCAGGGGACAACUGGGGAGCAGUGUUUACACAACACUGAGACAGGAGAGUCUCAGAACAAGGAUUGCAACCAGGUGUGUGGGGAGGUACAGAAAUCAGCAUUUAAAUUACGUAAUAAUUUUAUGCCUACAUCACCCCCAGGGUACUCCUGAUUGAGAUGGACCCAGAGAGAUCUUAUCUACUCUGGUACUACACUUUCUUGCACACACAUCCUGGUGCACAGAGAUGUUUCAAAGGGUGGAUCCCAUGAAAUGAAAUCACUGUGAUAAAGGGAGCUACAUUUUGAUUUGACACAUUCUUCUCAGUUGCCCUCCAAAAGACUUUACCAAUGUACAUUUCUACCAGAGAGCUUAAUAGGUAAUUGUACUGGUUAGUUGUUGUCAACAUGAUACAAGCUACAGUUACCUAGGAAGAAGCAACCUCAACUGAGGACUUGCCUCCCACAUAUUGGCCUUUGGUCAUGUGUAUAGGGCAUUUUCUUGAUUGGUGACUGAUGAGGCAGGGCUUCGCCCAUUGAGGGUGGUGCCAUUCCUGGUUGCAUAUGAAAGCAAGCUGAGCAAACCAGCAAGCAGCUUUCCUCUGUGGUGUCUGCUUCAGUUCCAGCCUGUAGGUUCCUGCCUUGAGUUCUUUCCUUGGCUUUCCUCCAUGAUGGACUGUAAGCCAUAAGCCAAAUAAGCCCUUCCCUUCCCCAAGGUUUUUUUUUUUUUUUGGGGGGGGGGUGUUGUUGUUUUGUUUUGUUUGAUCAUUGUUUUAUCACAGCAGCUGGAAUAAAAAGUAUUUCAUUAUUGUUUGAUCUUUAUUGUUUUCCAUCACUAGUAAGCUUGAACGUUCUGUACAUUUAUAUCCUUAACGUAACCAAUAUAUACAGAGAGAAAAUUUUAUGAAGUUUGAUUUAUAUUUUAAAGUAUUCAUGGGAUUGGGUGAGAUUUUCAGUGGGUAAAUGUACCUACCAAGCAAGACUGAUGGCUAGCAUUCAGUCCCUGGAACUGACCAUACCUGGGGCUGACCAUCCCUGAAAUUGACCAUCUCUGGGGUUGAUAUAUAGGUGAAAGAGUAACUGACUCCACACGUGUGACAUGGUGUAUGCAUUUCCCCACACAGAGACACUAGAAAUAAAUAAAAUACUGAGCAUAAUAAAGUACUUGUAACUUUUGCAUGGUUUGAGUUGAUUGUAUUCUAACACAUUUAUAUUUCUUUUUCUAUAUUCAUUGUCCUUUGACUUUGCUUACUAUUUUGCCUAAAGUUUGGGUCUUUAUUUCUCAAAACUGACAAUCUUUUCCGUUAUGGUUUCUGUAAGACACAAGAUUAUUAUCCAACUAAUAAUCCUUAUUUUUUUAAUGGUUUAUGUGCUUUUUCUCCUUUAAAAAUUUGGUUUCUUCACCCAUCUGGAAUGUAUGUUUAUGCGUAGCACAUGACACGAUUUUAUUUUUUCCAUAUGGAGGAUCAUUUGUCCAAAACGCCGUGUGUUAUACGUUGUGUAUUGCCUGUUCCACUCAGUAGCUCUCCAGAACUUUAAGCAAAACAGGAACUUUCACCUGCUUCCACCUCCUCCGCCUCUCCACCCCUACACGUAGAGCUCUCCAGGAUUGCCACCACUGGUACCAAACAUUUUAGCCGUAUAUGCAUAGCAACUGAGAGCUUGACAUAUGGCUGGUAGGAAAUGAAAUAGGCUACUAGUAAAAUAUACAUCAGAUU